UGCAAGUCGAGGGGUAACAGAGAAGCUUGCUUCUGCUGACGACCGGCGCACGGGUGCGUAACGCGUAUGCAACCUACCUUAUACAGGAGAAUACCCCUUGGAAACGAGGAAUAAUGCUCCAUAGUAUCAUCACUUCGCAUGUUGAGAUGAUUAAAGAAUUUCGGUAUAAGAUGGGCAUGCGUCCCAUUAGCUUGUUGGUGAGGUAACGGCUCACCAAGGCUACGAUGGGUAGGGGGCCUGAGAGGGUGGUCCCCCACACUGGUACUGAGACACGGACCAGACUCCUACGGGAGGCAGCAGUGAGGAAUAUUGGUCAAUGGAGGCAACUCUGAACCAGCCAUGCCGCGUGAAGGAUGACGGCCCUAUGGGUUGUAAACUUCUUUUGAAUAGGAAGAAACUUAUCUACGUGUAGAUAACUGACGGUACUAUUAGAAUAAGGAUCGGCUAACUCCGUGCCAGCAGCCGCGGUAAUACGGAGGAUCCAAGCGUUAUCCGGAUUCAUUGGGUUUAAAGGGUCCGUAGGCGGGUCUUUAAGUCAGUGGUGAAAGCCGACAGCUCAACUGUCGAACUGCCAUUGAUACUGGAGACCUUGAGUACAAAUGAAGUAGGCGGAAUGAGUCAUGUAGCGGUGAAAUGCAUAGAUAUGACUCAGAACACCGAUUGCGAAGGCAGCUUACUAAGUACUAAUUGACACUGAUGGACGAAAGCGUGGGUAGCGAACAGGAUUAGAUACCC
rnacentral:rRNA from 1 species